rnacentral:rRNA from 1 species
GAUGAACGCUGGCGGCGUGCCUAAUACAUGCAAGUCGAGCGAACAGAUAAGGAGCUUGCUCCUUUGACGUUAGCGGCGGACGGGUGAGUAACACGUGGGUAACCUACCUAUAAGACUGGAAUAACUCCGGGAAACCGGGGCUAAUGCCGGAUAACAUUUAGAACCGCAUGGUUCUAAAGUGAAAGAUGGUUUUGCUAUCACUUAUAGAUGGACCCGCGCCGUAUUAGCUAGUUGGUAAGGUAACGGCUUACCAAGGCAACGAUACGUAGCCGACCUGAGAGGGUGAUCGGCCACACUGGAACUGAGACACGGUCCAGACUCCUACGGGAGGCAGCAGUAGGGAAUCUUCCGCAAUGGGCGAAAGCCUGACGGAGCAACGCCGCGUGAGUGAUGAAGGUCUGCGGAUCGUAAAACUCUGUUAUUAGGGAAGAACAAAUGUGUAAGUAACUGUGCACGUCUUGACGGUACCUAAUCAGAAAGCCACGGCUAACUACGUG